rnacentral:rRNA from 1 species
AAGGUGANGCCUGCCCAGUGACCCAGUGUUUAACGGCCGCGGUAUCCUAACCGUGCAAAGGUAGCGCAAUCAAUUGUCCCAUAAAUCGAGACUUGUAUGAAUGGCUAAACGAGGUCUUAACUGUCUCUUGCAGGCAAUCGGUGAAAUUGAUCUCCCUGUGCAAAAGCAGGGAUAACCACAUAAGACGAGAAGACCCUGUGGAACUUAAAAAUCAGCAGCCACCCUGAAUCACAUUCACACCCACUGGGUUUACGCACCUAAAAGGGACUGGCCUGCAUUUUUCGGUUGGGGCGACCUUGGAGAAAAACAAAUCCUCCAAAAAUUGGACCACAACUCUAGACCAAGAGCAACUACUCAACGUGCUAACAGCACCCAGAUCCAAUAUAAUUGAUCAAUGGACCAAGCUACCCCAGGGAUAACAGCGCAAUCUCCUCCAAGAGUCCAUAUCGACGGGGAGGUUUACGACCUCGAUGUUGGAUCAGGACAUCCUAGUGGUGCAGCAGCUACUAAGGGUUCG